rnacentral:rRNA from 1 species
CCUGAACGCUGGCGGCGUGGCUAAGACAUGCAAGUCGCACGGUGCCGUAGCAAUACGGUACAGUGGCGAACGGGUGAGUAAUGAAUCGCUAAUGUACCCCGGACUCUGGGAUAGCUAUCCGAAAGGGUAGGUAAUACCAGAUGAGACCACGAACAGGCAUCUGUUUGUGCUCAAAGGUCCGCCGGUCUGGGAGCAGGCGAUUUCGUAUCAGCUAGUUGGGNGAGGUAACGGCUCACC